UGCAGUCGAGGGGCAGCAUGGUGUAGCAAUACACUGAUGGCGACCGGCAAACGGGUGCGGAACACGUACGCAACCUACCCAAAACUGGGGAAUAGCCCGGGGAAACCCGGAUUAAUACCUCGUAACAUAAUUGAAUGGCAUCAUUUGAUUAUUAUAGCUCAGGCGGUUUUGGAUGGGCGUGCGACUGAUUAGGUAGUUGGCGGGGUAACGGCCCACCAAGCCUACGAUCAGUAACUGGUGUGAGAGCACGACCAGUCACACGGGCACUGAGACACGGGCCCGACUCCUACGGGAGGCAGCAGUAAGGAAUAUUGGUCAAUGGACGCAAGUCUGAACCAGCCAUGCCGCGUGAAGGAUGAAGGUCCUCUGGAUUGUAAACUUCUUUUAUAUGGGAAGAAAUCCCGGAAUUCUUUCUGGGUUGACGGUACCAUAGGAAUAAGCACCGGCUAACUCCGUGCCAGCAGCCGCGGUAAUACGGAGGGUGCAAGCGUUAUCCGGAUUCACUGGGUUUAAAGGGUGCGUAGGAGGGCAGGUAAGUCAGUGGUGAAAUCCCCAAGCUUAACUUGGGAACUGCCGUUGAUACUAUCUGUCUUGAAUACCGUGGAGAUGAGCGGAAUAUGUCAUGUAGCGGUGAAAUGCUUAGAUAUGACAUAGAACACCAAUUGCGAAGGCAGCUCGUUACACGAAUAUUGACUCUGAGGCACGAAAGCGUGGGGAUCAAACAGGAUUAGAUACCCUGGUAGUCCACGCCCUAAACGAUGGAUACUCGACAUACGCGAUACACAGUGUGUGUCUGAGCGAAAGCAUUAAGUA
rnacentral:rRNA from 1 species